AAAGAUAAUGCUUAAACUUCGUUGGGCCAUAACCUAUAUAUAUGUAUGUAUAAUCUAUAUGAGAAAUAUUUUGGCCUGAUUUUUCUCUCCUCUUUUUCUUACUCAUGUCUCUCUCUUACUAUGUAAUGUUUCUACAAGUAUGUUCCAAUUUUGUUAGUUAUAUAUGUAAUAGCUUAUUGAGGACAUGCAGAAAGCAAAUGAAGAGAUGGAAAAACUGAAAGGGGAGGCACAAGCCAACAAGGAUCACAUGCUAUAGGUGGUUUCGAUUUUUUACUUGAAUUUAUUAUCUGAUACUCUUAAGGAUUUAAAUAUUUUAUGAUAUUUUUUUGACAAUAAAAAGAAAUAACACAAGUGAAUGAAGUUGCAUUGAAGCAAAUUGAAUCUGCUCAUGAAAAAUUCAAGGCUGAGACGGACCAGCUAAAGAAGUCACUGGAGGAUGAAAUUCAUUUUCUCAAGGGAAGGGUUUCAGAACUUGAAAGUGAUCUUGUGUCAAAGUACACAGAAGUUACAUCUGCAGUUUCAGGGAAAGAAGAAGCUCUAUCUUCUGCAUUUGCUGAAAUUGACCGUCCGAAGGAAGAAAAUUCUGUAAAAACGUCUCAGAUAGUGGAAUUGGAAAUUCAGAUCUCUUCUUUGAAAGAAGAUCCUGAAAAGGAGCAUCUACGCUGGCGUACUAGCUAGAGCAAUUAUGAAAGACAAGUUUGCUCUUAAUUUCUUGUCAUAAUUCUUAUUUCCCAUCUCAUUCAUGUGCAGUGGGAUAUGGAAGAACUUCGUAGGAAGUAUUUGGAGAUGGAGUCGAAGCUAAAGUUCGAAUAGGUUCCUUUUUUGUAAUUCUUAUGAUAGGUUGAGCAAAGUGAAGUAUUGUUUAUUUAAAAAUGUGAGUGUGGGAUGCAUUGUAUGAUUU